GAACUUGUUAUGUAGCCCAGUCCCUGUCCCUAUGCGGCCGUGUGGCUUGGAGCAAGCCAUCGACACUGUCCAGGGCACGGAUGAGCCAGGGCCAGCACCAGAAGUGACUUUUAGGGACUGCUGCCACGUUCUCACCUGCAUGCCUCCGUUUCCCCUCUGGUAUCUAAGAGAGAGUAAUUCAGACCCCAGACUCAGCCGGUAGAGAGGAGAAGCAGCUGCAUGUUGGGGACUAUGGCCAAAGUCAGAGAGAACCAGCUUGACUUCAGAGGGACAGCUUGACAGUGUAACUUCAAAGAAGAAUCUGGCCAGAGACUGCUGGACCUCAGGGGAAGAUUACCUACAUUCCCUGGCCCCUUUUCAACCUCCCUUCCCUCUGAGAGCCACUUUCAUCAGCAAUAAAAU
rnacentral:lncRNA from 10 species